rnacentral:rRNA from 1 species
AACGUAGGAGACAAACGUUAUCCGGAGUUACUGGGCGUAAAGGGCGUGUAGGCGGUCUGUUAAGUCUGGCGUGAAAGCUCUCGGCUAAACCGGGAGAGGUCGUUUGGAUACUGGCAGACUAGAGGACGGUAGAGGCGUGUGGAAUUCCGGGUGUAGUGGUGAAAUGCGUAGAUAUUGGGAGGAACACCGGUGGCGAAGGCGGCCCCCUGGACCGGAACUGACGCUGAGGCGCGAAAGCGUGGGUAGCAAACGGG